rnacentral:rRNA from 1 species
CCUACGGGUGGCAGCAGUGGGGAAUAUUGCACAAUGGGCGCAAGCCUGAUGCAGCCAUGCCGCGUGUGUGAAGAAGGCCUUCGGGUUGUAAAGCACUUUCAGCGGGGAGGAAGGCGGUGAGGUUAAUAACCUCAUCGAUUGACGUUACCCGCCGAAGAAGCACCGGCUAACUCCGUGCCAGCAGCCGCGGUAAUACGGAGGGUGCAAGCGUUAAUCGGAAUUACUGGGCGUAAAGCGCACGCAGGCGGUUUGUUAAGUCAGAUGUGAAAUCCCCGGGCUCAACCUGGGAACUGCAUUUGAAACUGGCAAGCUAGAGUCUCGUAGAGGGGGGUAGAAUUCCAGGUGUAGCGGUGAAAUGCGUAGAGAUCUGGAGGAAUACCAGUGGCGAAGGCGGCCCCCUGUACAAAGACUGACGCUCAGAUGCGAAAGCGUGGGGAGCAAACAGGAUUAGAUACCCCGGUAGUC